AGGGUUUGAUUCUGGCUCAGAUUGAACGCUGGCGGCAUGCUUUACACAUGCAAGUCGAACGGCAGCGCGGGCUUCGGCCUGGCGGCGAGUGGCGAACGGGUGAGUAAUACAUCGGAACGUGCCCAGUAGUGGGGGAUAGCUCGGCGAAAGCCGGAUUAAUACCGCAUACGACCUGAGGGUGAAAGCGGGGGAUCUUCGGACCUCGCGCUAUUGGAGCGGCCGAUGGCAGAUUAGCUAGUUGGUGGGGUAAAGGCCUACCAAGGCGACGAUCUGUAGCUGGUCUGAGAGGACGACCAGCCACACUGGGACUGAGACACGGCCCAG
rnacentral:rRNA from 1 species